rnacentral:rRNA from 1 species
UACAGAGGUGGCAAGCGUUGUUCGGAAUUACUGGGCGUAAAGAGCUCGUAGGCGGUCUGUCGCGUCGGCUGUGAAAUCCCGAGGCUCAACCUCGGGUCUGCAGUCGAUACGGGCAAACUAGAGUAUUGCAGGGGAGACUGGAAUUCCUGGUGUAGCGGUGAAAUGCGCAGAUAUCGGGAGGAACACCCGUAGCGAAGGCGGCACUCUGGGCCGGUACUGACGCUGAGGAGCGAAAGCGUGGGGAGCAAACAGGG